rnacentral:lncRNA from 1 species
AUAAAGACCUGUGUUUCUGGCUUGCUCCAAAUGAGAUGUAAGUAGUGAAAAGCAAAGGAGAUCAAGAUGCUGCAGUCAAGAAGCUGGAAAAAUACCAAUCAAGGGCGUUGGCAUAGACAAAGGAGCGAGGGCCUCAGUCAAAUGCUGCUGUGAGGGAGAAUGAGACCAGGUGGAGCAGUGAGUACAGGGGUGCCAGGCUUCCUGGAAAGGGCAGCUUCGGUGGAUGUGCCAGAGCCUGACCCAGUUGGUGAGUAUGAAUGAGAAUGAAGAAAGGAAUUAGUGAUUAGCAGCACUCUUUUGAGAAGUAUUAUCGAGAAGAAAAGCAAAUAGAAGGGUACGGUAAGUACCUAGAAGAGGAUGUGAGAUCACAGGAUGCUUUUUUAAGUUGAGGUAUAAUUUACAUAAAUGUACAGAUCUUAAGUUUUGCUUUUCUUAAAAAAAAAAAAAAAAAGAGCAAAUGCAGGAGAGGAGAGAGGGCCUGAAAAGAAAGGGUGAUUAAGAUGUCCUGUAGUGAGGGAAACAACUUCAGGAUAGAGCAUCUUUUUUCUCUAGUACCCAGCAUGGCACCUGGCACCCAACAAGUGCAGAUCAAAGUGGAAGAGCAAGGCAAUGUAAAUUUCAGCAGUGCGGGGCUCUUCUCCUCCCUAGGAACUACUCAACCUCUGCCUUGAUACUGAAGAGCACAAAGCAGGAGAAAACUCUAUGUCUUUCCCAAAGGCAAUCUGUCUGUCUCUCUUCCCAGGAAGGUCAGUGCCUGCCAAUCACUCUACAGGAAAGGAUGUACCUUUGAAGAGGAACUUUCCGGACCCUCUUAAUUCUGCCAUUAGUGCAGCUCUUCCAGAGGUCCUGGGCCUAAUCCGGGCCAGCAGGAUGAGUUGGUCAUUGGAGGCUGGAGCCUGCAGGUGGCAGAGGCACUACGGAAGCUGUGUUGCAGUUUGUGGCUCUGGGGGUGGUGACUCCGGCUCCCUGGACACCCAGGAUGUAUCUUUUUGAAUUUGGAAACCUUCCUUAAACCUCCAGCCUCAGAAUCCAGCCUGAUAAUCCCCAACAAUCACAUGUAAGUG